AUUUAAAUAGUUUAAAAAAAUAUUGAUUUGUGGAGUCAAAGUUAUGAAUUUGUUCAUUUUAGAUA
rnacentral:tRNA from 1 species